GACGAACGCUGGCGGCGUGCUUAACACAUGCAAGUCGAACGGAAAGGCCCUGCUUUUGUGGGGUGCUCGAGUGGCGAACGGGUGAGUAACACGUGAGUAACCUGCCCUUGACUUUGGGAUAACUUCAGGAAACUGGGGCUAAUACCGGAUAGGAGCUCCUGCUGCAUGGUGGGGGUUGGAAAGUUUCGGCGGUUGGGGAUGGACUCGCGGCUUAUCAGCUUGUUGGUGGGGUAGUGGCUUACCAAGGCUUUGACGGGUAGCCGGCCUGAGAGGGUGACCGGCCACAUUGGGACUGAGAUACGGCCCAGACUCCUACGGGAGGCAGCAGUGGGGAAUAUUGCACAAUGGGCGGAAGCCUGAUGCAGAAACGCCGCGUGCGGGAUGACGGCCUUCGGGUUGUAAACCGCUUUCGCCUGUGACGAAGCGUGAGUGACGGUAAGGGGUAAAGAAGCACCGGCUAACUACGUG
rnacentral:rRNA from 1 species